GAUCGGGGUGUUGGAGUAGCAGCAGACAGCAGACGGCACUUGUGGUUGGGGCUGGUUGCUUUGUUUCUGGGCCUUUUUGCCCUACGCCUGGGGGGCCAGCUCGGUGUCCCUCAGCGGCUUGCCUUCACCUCAGCUGUUUUCUUUUCGAGCGGCUCGUAGAGCAGGCUAAACCUCACAUCAAGCUGAAUUCUGAAGAUAUGUUGGCACCUGUGCACAAGCUCCCUAUACUGGACUCAUGAAACAAACCAGAACUAUCUAAGUCAGGGGAUUCCAAUCAACUGGUCAAGUUUAAGAGAUGGACCUGACAGGGUACUAGAUAUAUGAGUAGCUCCACGAACACUUGCUGAGAAAAUAAGUGAAUGGCUAGACAAGUGAGGUCGUUACCUAACCCGUCAUAAAUUAUACUGGAAUCCCCAUUUUCCAGGAGAAGAAAAAAUGCCCAAGACUGAUGUUUCUGAGGAUUAAACACCUAGAUAGGGUGACAGUACCCUGACAUACUCAAAUUCUAGAAGCAAGCUGCUCCCUAUUACCCUCGCCCUCCUCAAGAAGCUGAUCCAUCCAUACUUCAAAUGAAGAAGUAAUUACCAAGUAACCGUCAGGGGCCAUGGAGGAUGCUAGGAAUACAGACAUCUACUAUCUUCAGGGAUUGGAAUUCACAGUCUACAGGAGCAUAAAUAUACAAGUCCCAAACUCUGACUUUGCUCCCCAAAUCUGCUUCAGCCUCAGUCUACCUCACCUCAACGGAGAUACCCCAUCCUCCUCCCAGCUGCUCAAGGCUGAAAUAGGAAAAUCAUCCUUAUUCCUCUCCUGCCCUAUUCCCUGGUUCCUGUCCAUUCUGCCUCUGAAAAGUAUCUGAAAUCAUCUUGCUUCUGUCACCACUGCCACCCUCCUCGCCAAACUGGGACCACUGCAACAGCCUCCGACUGGUCCCGUCUUCUGCUUUUCAUCCCCUGCAAUCCACACAGCAGGUAGGGUGACUUGUGAAAAUAUAAACAGAAUGCCUCUGCUGCUUAAAACUCUCCAGUGACUUCCCAUUUCCCAUAGAAUAAAAUAUAAACUCCUUGCCCUCACCCCAGUAGAUCAGCAGGACUUGGCCCCUGCCUCACUCUCCCAGCUAUCUAAUACCACGCUUCUUCUGGCUGGUCAUGCUUCCCUCACACUGGCUUCUCUCCCCUCCUCUCCCACCAAAGCCACCACCGCACAAGCACAGACUGGCAUUGCUCUCCCUCCACCCGCCAGCCCCCCAAUCCCAACCUAACUAUGGCUGAUGCUCGGGUCUCAGAUGUCACUUCCUCAUCCAGGCACUCCCCCAACCCACACUGAGGACCCUGUUCUUUACCCCUGGCUCUUAUUUCAUUUAUAAAUUGUCACUUCCUUGUCUUUUCCCCUUAGACUAUUAUCGAAGACCAUACUUAUUUUGUUCACAAUUAUAUACCUAGUGCCUAGAACAUAGUAGGCGCUCUAUUUGCCGAAUGGAUGAAGGAAUGGUUGAAGGAACACACAAGUAAUCACAACACAAGGCAUCCCGCGUUGAAAGAGGGUGGAGCUCAACAGAAGUAGAAGGGGAACCCUGGUAGAGGGGGUAAAAUUAAAACUAGGCCUGGAAAUUAAAGAAACAAACAAACACUCUUUUGCAGUAUUCGAUUCACACAAAGUAAUUUAGAGAACACUUAUGCAGGUAAUGAAGCAUAUUGAAAACAAACACUAAUAAAGUUACUGCACUAAUGAAAAUAUUAUGAAUACUGCUGUACACAUCCUUUAGUAAAAAUAUAAACACAGUCUAGAAGAUAUUUCCAACACACACACAAAAAAAAUUUAUAUCCAGAGAUGUGAAGAGUUCCUUUGAGUCAGUAAGAAAAAUACAAAUAACCAGAUAGAAAAAUAAGGGCAUAAAUAGCAUUUCCCAAUAAGAAACUGAAAUGACCAAAAAAUACAGGAAGAGGUGCUUAACAUCUCUAGCAACCAGGAAAUGAAAGAAAUAAAGACCACGGGGAGAUACUUUUUUGCAUCGAUUAGACUGGCAAAAAAUUAAUGCAACAAAACCAAAUGUUGGCAAGGAUGCGGUUCUUAGAUUUUGACGAGCAAAAGCGGCAAGGGAAGGGGAUCCCAGCAGAGGGUGGAAACAGGCAGGGCAUGUUUCCGGAAUAUCCACGUGGUGGAGCACAGGACGUGGAAAGGAACGAAUCUGGGGAUAAAGGGAGUGACCGGGUGAAGAAGAGAGGUCACCAGGGGCAGGGAGAGAGGGGACAGGUACAGAGCUUCAGUUUGCAAUGAUCAAGUGCUAUGGAUGGAGUGUGGGAUGGUUGCACAAUAGGAA